AUUGAACGCUGGCGGCAUGCUUUACACAUGCAAGUCGAACGGCAGCGCGGGCUUCGGCCUGGCGGCGAGUGGCGAACGGGUGAGUAAUGCAUCGGAACGUGCCCAGUAGUGGGGGAUAGCCCGGCGAAAGCCGGAUUAAUACCGCAUACGACCUGAGGGUGAAAGCGGGGGACCGAAAGGCCUCGCGCUAUUGGAGCGGCCGAUGUCGGAUUAGCUAGUUGGUGGGGUAAAGGCUUACCAAGGCGACGAUCCGUAGCUGGUCUGAGAGAACGACCAGCCACACUGGGACUGAGACACGGCCCAGACUCCUACGGGAGGCAGCAGUGGGGAAUUUUGGACAAUGGGGGCAACCCUGAUCCAGCCAUGCCGCGUGCGGGAAGAAGGCCUUCGGGUUGUAAAACGCUUUUGUUCGGGAAGAAAUCCUCUGGGCUAAUACCCCGGGGGGAUGACGGUACCGGAAGAAUAAGCACCGGCUAACUACGUG
rnacentral:rRNA from 1 species